CUAGUGUAGCGGUGAAAUGCGUAGAUAUUAGGAGGAACACCAGUGGCGAAGGCGGAUUGCUGGACGAUAACUGACGGUGAGGCGCGAAAGUGUGGGGAGCAAACAGGAUUAGAUACCCUGGUAGUCCACACUGUAAACGAUGAAUACUAGGUGUGCGGGGACUGACCCCCUGCGUGCCGCAGUUAACACAAUAAGUAUUCCACCUGGGGAGUACGAUCGCAAGGUUGAAACUCAAAGGAAUUGACGGGGGCCCGCACAAGCGGUGGAUUAUGUGGUUUAAUUCGAAGCAACGCGAAGAACCUUACCAGGGUUUGACAUCCUGCUAACGAAGUAGAGAUACAUUAGGUGCCCUUCGGGGAAAGCAGAGACAGGUGGUGCAUGGUUGUCGUCAGCUCGUGUCGUGAGAUGUUGGGUUAAGUCCCGCAACGAGCGCAACCCCUAUUGUUAGUUGCUACGCAAGAGCACUCUAGCGAGACUGCCGUUGACAAAACGGAGGAAGGUGGGGACGACGUCAAAUCAUCAUGCCCCUUAUGACCUGGGCUACACACGUAAUACAAUGGCGGUCAACAAAGGGAUGCAAAGCCGCGAGGCAGAGCGAACCCCAAAAAGCCGUCCCAGUUCGGAUCGCAGGCUGCAACCCGCCUGCGUGAAGUCGGAAUCGCUAGUAAUCGUGGGUCAGCAUACCACGGUGAAUACGUUCCCGGGCCUUGUACACACCGCCCGUCACACCAUGAGAGUCGGGAACACCCGAAGUCCGUAGCCUAACCGUAAGGAGGGCGCGGCCGAAGGUGGGUUCGAUAAUUGGGGUGAAGUCGUAACAAGGUAGCCGUUCGAGAACGAGCGGCUG
rnacentral:rRNA from 1 species